GGGCGGUUAGCUCAGUGGUAGAGCACUGCCUUCACACGGCAGGGGCCACAGGUUCGAACCCUGUACCGCCCACCA
rnacentral:tRNA from 1 species